GAAAGAAAGAAAAAAAAUAUGUAUCUGAUGAUCUGAUCCCACAUCCUUUCAAGUCCCAACAGUCCUCAUUCUAGAUUGUCUAGGUUUAUGGCCCUCUUGUGGUUAGAAGUACCUGAUCAGAGAUUCAGAGACAAUAGCAUCAUUGAAGUUGUGAAAUUAAUGGAAAUCCAGUGAAAUGCCACUAUCAAAGUCUCAAAGGCAGAGAGAGAGAGAGAGAAGCUAGGACCCUCAUAUUGUACAGUACCGCAGCAGCAGCGAUCUGUGAUUUUCCCUUGGAAGCUUUUAUUUCUUUAUCUGCAUCAUUAGUAAUCAGUCAGUGAAGGAAAGAGAGGAGGGAAACGUACUUGGUACUUGCAGCCAAUGGGUUGCACUGACUUGUCCUUCUCCGUCCCCUCUGCUAGUUACUAUUGCUUGCAGGUGCUAAAUCAACGAGUCCUUUAUUAGCCAGCGCGUAGCCGGAAUUCGUUCACGAGAAGGAAUGUCGAUCGACCAAGAACAAGCGUAUAGAAUUAGUGUUGACGGAAAAUUUUAUAGUACGUACCAGUAUCUCAUACACACAUUUACAAAUGUGACAACAAAUUUGUUGUCAAAGUGGUAAUGUUGAGUCCUAUUUUGUGUAAUCUUAGUUCUAAUAAUGGUAAUUACACCUCCUACGACAUUGUUACAAGCUUUUGAACAAAUUCGCUGUCAAUGUUGUAAUUUUUGUUUAACUAUAUGUAAAUAGUGUAAAUGAAUAUGGUAACUUUUGUUCUCAA